rnacentral:rRNA from 1 species
CCCCUAGUAACUGCGAGUGAAGCGGGAAAAGCUCAAAUUUUAAAUCUGGCGGUCUUCGUGACCGUCCGAGUUGUAAUCUAGAGAAGCGUCUUCCGCGCUGGACCGUGUACAAGUCUCCUGGAAGGGAGCGUCAUAGAGGGUGAGAAUCCCGUCUUUGACACGGACCCCCAAGUGCUAUGUGAUGCGCUCUCGAAGAGUCGAGUUGUUUGGGAAUGCAGCUCAAAAUGGGUGGUAAAUUCCAUCUAAAGCUAAAUACAGGCGAGAGACCGAUAGCGAACAAGUACCGUGAGGGAAAGAUGAAAAGAACUUUGGAAAGAGAGUUAAACAGUACGUGAAAUUGCUGAAAGGGAAACGCUUGAUGUCAGUCGCGUCCGCCAGGGAUCAACCUCGCUUCAUUGCUGGGCGUAUUUCUUGGUCGGACGGGUCAGCAUCAGUUUCCAUCGUCGUACAAUGGCGGAGGGAACGUGGCACCUCUAGGGGUGUGUUAUAGCCUUUCGUCGUAUGCGUCGGUAGGGACUGAGGAACUCGGCACGACCUUUCUCAGGUCUGUGUCUAGGAUGCUGGCAUAAUGGCCUUAAGCGACCCGUCUUGAAACACGGACCAAGGAGUCUAACAUGCCUGCGAGUGUUCGGGUGGUAAAACUCGAGCGCGCAAUCAAAGUGAAAGUCGAGAUCUCUGUCAUGGAGAGCAUCGACGCCCGGACCAGAGUCUUUGACGAAAGAUCUGCGGUAGAGCAUGCAUGUUGGGACCCGAAAGAUGGUGAACUAUGCCUGAUAGGG